rnacentral:rRNA from 1 species
AUUGAACGCUGGCGGAAUGCUUUACACAUGCAAGUCGAACGGUAGAGGGGGGCAACCCCUUGAGAGUGGCGAACGGGUGAGUAAUAUAUCGGAACGUGCCCAGUCGUGGGGAUAACGUAGCGAAAGUUACGCUAAUACCGCAUACGAUCUAAGGAUGAAAGCGGGGGAUCGCAAGACCUCGCGCGAUUGGAGCGGCCGAUAUCAGAUUAGGUAGUUGGUGAGGUAAAGGCUCACCAAGCCAACGAUCUGUAGCUGGUCUGAGAGGACGACCAGCCACACUGGAACUGAGACACGGUCCAGACUCCUACGGGAGGCAGCAGUGGGGAAUUUUGGACAAUGGACGCAAGUCUGAUCCAGCCAUUCCGCGUGCAGGAUGAAGGCCCUCGGGUUGUAACUGCUUUUGUACGGAACGAAAGGUUUCUCUUAAUACGAGGAGCUCAUGACGGUACCGUAAGAAUAAGCACCGG